CUCCAGUCACAUUCGCAGAGCUCCCUCAUCCUGGGGUGUCAGUGACUUGGACUGAGGAUUUGAACUUACUGAAAAUAGCAGGUGCUCCCUUGCCUGGCUCUGCCUUCCCCUCCUCCCCACCAACUGCCCCUGCCUUAUCUGGGCUGCUACAUUUCCCUGAGAUCUUCCAGUCCGACACCCCAUCCUGGCUCCUGGGUGGGGCUCUGCCUUGCCAGCCCCUUUCCAGUUCAGACUUGUCCAACCUUGAAGGACGUAUGCAAAGGCCCUCCAGGGAGCCCUAAGGGUUGAGAUCUGCCAUAGGGAGCUUGAGGACCAGGGCUCUUAGGUCAGUCGGGGUUGGGGUGAGUGAGUGAAGAAUAUUUAAGGAUCAUAUGCUAGAGACUGGGCUAGGAAUGACACCAAAUCCUGCUAACUCCCCUGCAGGCAGAGACAUAAUUCUCUGCAUCCAGCAGGAAGGACAUUGGAGACCAGGGAAAUCACCUCACAAGCCCAAAUGGCAGAACCAGGUUUUGAACCUAAGGCUACAGUGGCUCUACUUUCCACAUGGGCCACUGCAUCCUCUGGCUCUGGGGGGCUGCCUGUCUUCUUACCUUCCCAGGGUUCUCACAUCCCACCCCUGGCAAUUAGAGACUCUGGAAACUGCUCAGAAGCCUCUGGAAGAAAGGGUAAGCAUAAGCCCUUCCUGACCCACAGGACAGAGCAGCAGGUUGGUGGGAUGACGUCAGGCCAGGAGGAAACCACUCCAGGGUUCCUGAGACCUGAGUGAUUUGGGAUUAAUCUUCCAGAUCUGGCACCAGAGCUGUAAUGGGAAGCUGCUGCCACCCCACCCCCUUCAUCCUCAUCAUGGUGAACAGAUGGGCUGACCCCUCUGUGGGGUCUAAGUAGGGCAUGCUGCUAAGCAGGAAGGGAGACCAGCCAGCCACAAGGUGAGUGUCAGUGGGAGAGAGUGGGGGUAGGCACAUCCAGCUCUACCCCACCUGCCAGGACCUCUGGUUGAGGGGGUUAGAAGGUCAGCUCUCUGUUGCCAAUGCGGGGUACAGCUGUUGCACCAGGCAGAGACACAUCUCUUGGGGUAGUAAAAGGGGAUUCAUGCACAUACACAAUAUUGCAUGUGCUUUCUAAUUCCAAACUCCUUACCCUAAGGCUGCCAGUGCUAAGAAGUUACAGAGACUCACCCCUCAGGCUCAGGAGAGUCUUGGACUGUGUGGUGCUCAGAGCACCCAGGUCCUGACUGGGCCAGCUUCUGCCAUCGGCCCCACUGUCAUAGGAGUCCCUCAGGCUGAGGUGGGCAUGGGAUAUGGUAACAAUAGAGAAACACAAGGGUAGCCAAUUAUCAGAGCCAGAAGGACCCUUAGGAACUUGAGUUGGAUACUUAUGUUUCCAAAAGGAAUAGGAGGCUGAGAGAGGGGAAGGAACUGGCAUCUAGCAAGGGCAACAGAACCAGGACUUCAGAACUCCCUGGCUGGUGCUGGACAGCUUUAUCUGGAAUAGGUCACACUGGAAACAACUCAUAGGUCCUCAACAGGUAAAAGGAUAAGCGAACUUGGCAUACAUGUUCAGGAUGCUUAUUCUUUGUAUGAGAAUGAGCUACGGACAUAGGCAACAACAUGGUCGAGCCUCAAAGCCAUCAUCCUGCAUGAAAGAGAUCAGACAAAAGAGAGCACAGACGCUGGGGACAGCUCCAUGGUAGAGCAUGUGUUCAGGUAUGCAAGGCCCUGGGUUCAGUCUCCAGCAUCAAAUGAUAAUACUAAUAAUGUUAAUAAUACAAUUCUUUAAAAAGCAUAACUGUAGGAUUCUGUUUAUACAAAGCUCAAGAAAACAAAACCACUCUAGAGGGACAGAGGUGAUAGGGGCUCAAAAGGGGAAUAAGGACAGGUUCGAGGUGACAGAUACAUUCACUCUCUUGAUUGUAGUAAUGGUUUCCCUGGUAUAUACAGCUGUCAAAACUUAUCAGAUUCUACAUUCUAGGGCUAAGGACGUAGCUCAGUUGUAGAGAUCUGUUUACCAUGCAUGAGGCCCUCAGUUUGAUUUCCAGCACCUCAAAAAUAAUUUACAUAUUGAAUAUGUGCAAUUUUUAUAUGUCCAUUUUGUCUCA
rnacentral:lncRNA from 1 species